rnacentral:rRNA from 1 species
GUAGUUGAAAUGAAGGGUAGUUGUGUAAUGAAUACAUUCGUGUAUUUUGUUAUUCUACUACCCUCCUUCUAAAUUCGAUAUAUGAGUAUUAAUUUACUUGUAUAUGGUUUUAGACCUUUACUGUGAGAAAAUUAGAGUGUUCAAAGCAGGCAUUUGCUUGAAUAUAUUAGCAUGGAAUAAUCAUGUAUGAUUUUCAUGAUGUAUUUGAUUGGUUUGGUUCAUGAGAAUAAGAUUAAAAGGGACAGUUGGGGGUAUUCAUAUUCAAUAGUCAGAGGUGAAAUUCUCGGAUUUAUGGAAGAUGAACAAGUGCGAAAGCAUUUACCAAGGAUGUUUUCAUUAAUCA